rnacentral:rRNA from 1 species
UCACUCGCAGAAGAAGCACCGGCUAACUCCGUGCCAGCAGCCGCGGUAAUACGGAGGGUGCAAGCGUUAAUCGGAAUUACUGGGCGUAAAGCGCGCGUAGGCGGCUUGAUAAGCCGGUUGUGAAAGCCCCGGGCUCAACCUGGGAACGGCAUCCGGAACUGUCAGGCUAGAGUGCAGGAGAGGAAGGUAGAAUUCCCGGUGUAGCGGUGAAAUGCGUAGAGAUCGGGAGGAAUACCAGUGGCGAAGGCGGCCUUCUGGACUGACACUGACGCUGAGGUGCGAAAGCGUGGGUAGCAAACAGGAUUAGAUACCCUGGUAGUCCACGCCGUAAACGAUGUCGACUAGCCGUUGGGGUCCUCGAGACCUUUGUGGCGCAGUUAACGCGAUAAGUCGACCGCCUGGGGAGUACGGCCGCAAGGUUAAAACUCAAAUGAAUUGACGGGGGCCCGCACAAGCGGUGGAGCAUGUGGUUUAAUUCGAUGCAACGCGAAGAACCUUACCUACUCUUGACAUCGAGCGAACUUUCCAGAGAUGGAUGGGUGCCUUCGGGAACGCUCAGACAGGUGCUGCAUGGCCGUCGUCAGCUCGUGUUGUGAAAUGUUGGGUUAAGUCCCGUAACGAGCGCAACCCUUGUCCCUAUUUGCCAGCGAUUCGGUCGGGAACUCUAGGGAGACUGCCGGUGACAAACCGGAGGAAGGUGGGGACGACGUCAGGUCAUCAUGGCCCUUACGAGUAGGGCUACACACGUGCUACAAUGGCCGGUACAAUGGGCUGCAAUCCCGCGAGGGGGAGCUAAUCUCAUAAAGCCGGUCUCAGUCCGGAUCGGAGUCUGCAACUCGACUCCGUGAAGUCGGAAUCGCUAGUAAUCGUGAAUCAGAAUGUCACGGUGAAUACGUUCCCGGGCCUUGUACACACCGCCCGUCACACCAUGGGAGUGGACUGCACCAGAAGUGGUUAGCCUAACUUCGGAGGGCGAUCACCACGGUGUGGUUCAUGACUG